rnacentral:rRNA from 1 species
AACGAACGCUGGCGGCGUGCCUAACACAUGCAAGUCGAACGAGAAAGGGGCUCCGGCUCCGAGUAAAGUGGCGCCCGGGUGAGUAACACGUGGGUAAUCUGCCUCUAAGAUUGGGAUAACUCGUCGAAAGAUGAGCUAAUACCGAAUAAGACCACAGUCCCCGCGGGAACGGGGGUCAAAGGUAUCCUCUGCUUGCAAGCUAACACUUAGCGAUGGGCCUGCUCACCAUUGGCUAGUUGGUAGGGGACCGGCCCACCAAGGCAAAGAAGGGUAGCUGGCCGGAGAGGAUGAGAAGCCGCACUGGGAGUGAGACACGGUCCAGACGCCUUGGGGAGAGAGCAGGGGGGAAUAUUGAGGAAUGGGCGAAAGCUUGACGAAGCAACGCCGCGUGAGUGAUGAAGGCCGUCGGGUCGUAGAGGUCGGUCGGGAGGAAGGAAUGCUCCUGAGGUUAACAGGCUCGGGAAGUGACGGUACCUUCAAAGGAAGCACCGGCUAACUCCGUG